UACGAAGGGGGCUAGCGUUACUCGGAUUGACUGGGCGUAAAGGGCGCGUAGGCGGCUUGUACAGUCAGGCGUGAAAUUCCUGGGCUCAACCUGGGGGCUGCGCUUGAUACGUAUGGGCUUGAGUUCGGAAGAGGGUCGUGGAAUUCCCAGUGUAGAGGUGAAAUUCGUAGAUAUUGGGAUGAACACCGGUGGCGAAGGCGGCGACCUGGUCCGAUACUGACGCUGAGGCGCGAAAGCGUGGGGAG
rnacentral:rRNA from 1 species